CCCGAGGACAAACACCCUCAUCUCCCUGGGUUUCAUCAAAGUCUUUCAGGGCUGCAAUGUUAACUUUUGCAGAUGAAGGAGGAGAUGUUGCUCAGCUUGGACACCACAGCUCAAAUUGAAGAGGCGACGAAGCAUGGUGGCAAAGCAACAGACGACUUGUGUUCAACCUCAGCCGAGGAUUGUCGAUUACAAAUAAUCGCCAUACGUUUUUUAAGAUAAACAGGAAUACAGAGAUGCUCCUGUCAGACUGCUGGCAUCAAGCCCUACUUUAAUGGCCCUAUAGUGUGUAAACACUUUUGAUCGUCUUCUCUAAUUACCGUGUCAUGUUGUA